GGUUAAAAACCUAUCUCCGGGACCGGACUAUCUAGGUUUAGAUUCUGGCUGCCGCUUACGAAUUUGGGCAGGUUUAGUCAAGUUAUUUUAACCUCUCUGUGGAAGUUCCUGCUCUGUGGAAAUAAUAGUAUUUUCCUCAGAGUUGGUGUGGGGAGUUUGUGAGUUAAUACAUUUACGAAGUGGUUAGUUGCAUGUAAGAAGGACUCUCUAAAUGUCAGCUAUUAUUAACAUUGCAUAUCUGCCACACCCUUCAUAGAUGGUAAACUGCUUUUUUUUUUUUUUUUACUUUUAUUUUAGGUUCGGGAUACAUGCACAGGUUUGUUUUAUAGAUAAAUUGCUUGUCAUGUGGGUUUGUUGUACAAAUUAUUUUGUCACCCAGAUAGUAAGCAUAGUACUUGACAGGUAUUUUUUCUGAUCCUCUCCCUCCUCCCACCCUCUAGCCUCAAGUAGGUCCCAGUGUCUGUUGUUCUCUUCUUUGUGUCCAUGUGUUCUCAAUGUUUAGCUCCCACUUACAAGUCAGAACAUGCAGUAUUUGGUUUUCUCUUCCGCAUUAGUUCACUUAGGAUAAAGGCCUCCAGCUCCAUCCAUGUUGCUACAAAGGACAUGAUCUCUUUCUUUUUUAUGGCUGCAUAGUAGUCCAUGGUGUAUAUGUACCGUAUUUUCUUCAGUCUACUGGUGAUGGGCAUUUAGGUUGAUGCCAUGUCUUUACGAUUGUGAAUAGUGCUGCAGUGAACAUACAUGUACAUAUAUCUUUAUGGUAGAAUGAUUUAUAUUCUUUUGGGUAUAGACCCAAUACUGGGAUUGUUGGGUCGAAUGGUAAUUCUGUUUUAAGUUCUUUGAGAAAUCGCCACACUGCUUUCCGCGGUUACUGAACUAAUUUACAUUCCCACCAGCAUUGUAUAAGCAUUCCCUUUUCUCCACAACCUCACCAGAAACCAGCAUCUGUUAUUUCUUGACUUUUAUUAAUAGCCAUUCUGACUGGUGUGAGAUGAUAUCUCAUUGUAGUUUUGAUUUGGGUUUCUCUAGUGAUUAGUGAUGUUGAGUAUUUUAUAUGCUUGUUGGCCAUGUAGCUUCUUUUGGCUAGGGACCUGUGAGUCUCCCUAGGUUUCUUGCACUUACUAAGCCUUCAACAAAUGGUAGAAGAGUCAAUUCUCUUGGUGUUUCAGAAGAAAACAAUAUCACAGCCCCUCUCCACUGGAUAAUACUAUAAAUCUUAAAAUGAAUUUUCAUUCAGAGUAAUAAACACAAGCCAAAGAACUUUGUAUAACAUCCGUCAACUUUUUGUGUUAUCUAUUUCUUUUCCAAAACAUUGCCUCUGGUUUUAAAGGUAACUGCCCACAGUGUUUCACUAAUAACAUUUUAAGCAUUACAAGUUCAACACUGAAGGUCAAAUGACAACGAACUUUCAGUGCUUCCAAAAGCAGGGGCAGAGGGCAACUGCUGAGGGGGGCAUUGUAUAGCCUAACCUUCCCAGAAUUUGAUUUAAAAGUAUGAUCUUCACAGCGUUGGCCAGCAAUAUCAUGGUCACUCCCUACGUCAUUCCCUGGGAGAAAAACAACCCUAGGUUACCUAAACAAUGUUGGCGAAGACCAAAUAUUUAUUAACAUCCUAAGCCGCCCCAUAAUCAAGCCAAUGCUGAUAGGGACAAAGAAGGUGCCAUGUGCAGUUUUUCUCCAUGUCCCCACAAUAUCUGCUCUGAAUUUUAAAAGGCAAUUACUGGGGGAGAAGGAAGCCUAUAUAUUAUGUAGGAUCCAAGUCUCAAACUGCUUUCCUAGGGAGUGUGAGGUUCUUGGAGAUUAAGUGCAGUACCUUUCUGUCUUGAGCCUUGUAGGCUGCCCCUCUAAUUUAAUGCCAGUCUUGAAAUAAACAGAAUGCUUUCCAAGUCAUCGCUAAUUUUAACACUUUAAAUUUAGAAUUGCUUAGAAUUGACUCAACACUGCCUCCUUGCUGAAUGGAUAAUUCAAGCAAACAACUCAAGAGCUGGAUGCUGCCCAGACAGGUAGGCAGCCAGAUAAAGUGAGUGUCCAGGGAAAGAGCAGUAAGGGUCAGAAGAGAAAGAGCCUGGUGUUCUCACUGCCUCCUGCCUUCCUUAUGACUGUCUGUUCAGAAGUCCUCCUAGCAUCUUUCUUCUGCCUUCCCCUGCUCCUGUCCCUGAAACCUUUUCUUCAAAAGAAGUGGAAAAGAGGAACUGGGAACCCAUAUAGCAACAGCAUCACCUGGAAUGAAUUCCUUUAGAACAUACUGUCUUGGAAAUCUGAAGCCUGCAGGGCUGGACAGGCAAGAAGAGCAGUGAGCACUGCAUGAACCUGCAUGUACUCCGAAAUAUUUUUCAAAUGGAAAAGAAAACAGAGAACACAAUUUUCAAAAUAUCUAGAGCCCUCCAAGAAGUCUUUGUAGAGAUCUAUAAAAUCUCAAGGCAAUUUAAAGAAAAAUGUUUUAGAAACACUAUUCUCUCCACAUCCUGGGGCAGCAGCCUUCUCCAAAGAAACAGAAAGAAGGAAAUGGAUUGCCUUAGCAAAAAAACAAAUGAAGACACUCCAAAUAACAGAAGAAUGGGAAGGCUACAGACCUUGAAGUCAGAAGAAAAUUUCCUCUCCUUGCCCCGUUUCUCCUUAAAUGGAUCACCAGUACAGUCUCUUACUUCUAGAGCCAUGUUAAGCUUUCUUCCCCAAAGUUGUAAUGUCCUUCUUUUGGUUGUGUCGUGUCCUAAAAUCCUACUCUUUGGUACAAGAUGAAGGUAUAUGAAGAGAUAAUGAAGGAAACAAAUUCAAUGUGUUUGCCAAGAACACAGUCUUUUAAAUAACUCUUAAAGGGUUCGUUUAAAACAGUGUAAUAAAUUGUGGUAAUCUAGUACACAAAGCUAGUAGGAACCUCGUUUAUUAAUAAUAUUUCAACAUUGAGCAGUAGAGGGCAGCACUAUCCUUCUUUUGCAAAAUGUUGAGCACU
rnacentral:lncRNA from 1 species